rnacentral:piRNA from 1 species
UGUGCUACUAAAUCCCCAGCGCACAACACGC